rnacentral:rRNA from 1 species
CGUGUAGGCGGUCUGGAAAGCGGAGUGUGAAAGCCCGGGGCUCAACCCCGGAACUGCGUUCCGAACUUCCGGACUAGAGGACAGGAGGGGGAUCGGGAACUCUAGGUGGAGCGGUGAAAUGCGUAGAUAUCUAGAGGAACGCCGGUGGCGAAAGCGCGAUCCUGGUCUGUCCCUGACGCUGAGGCGCGAAAGCGUGGGUAGCAAACAGGAUUAGAUACCCUGGUAGUCC